UCUCUCUCCCCCUAUCUUCUUUCUUCUUUCUUCUUUCUUCUCUCUCUACCCGCCUCCCUCAAUCGCAGAAGCCAUCCCCCUUCCGUCGCUCUCUCUCCGGCUCGACGCCGCCGUCGGAGCUGCCGCGGCGGUCGCCAGGAAGUCGCCAGCUGCUGCUGCCUCGCCGCCUCUGUCCGUCCGCCGUCGCAGAGUCGCCGGGAGAAGCUGCUGCCGCAGCGAGGAGGAACGCCGCCGUCGCCCGCUGCAGCUCGCCGUCGGCCACCGCUGCUGCUCCGUCGGCGUCGGUCGUCGCUCCUGGAGUGGAGGCAACCCAGCCGCUGGAGCGGCCACCCUCCUGCCGUCUCCGGGAGUCCAGCCGCCGGCCAGGCACCGCGCAGCCCCGAACACGCCCGGAACCACCCCGAAACGUCCCGCAAUAUAUGUUAUCAUUAUAAAGAUUAAUGAGGAAGAUGGAAGGUUUGAAAAGGCGGAGGGUCUCCAUGAACAAAGGAACCGGCAGAGAGGGAAGGAAAAAGAAGGAAGAAGAGUUCUUGGGCUUACCCCAUUUUCUUGGAGAGAUAUUGGGCUCCAAUUAAAUUAAUUACAUGUUGUUGGGCUCAAAUGUUGUAAGCCCAAGUUGGUGUUACUAUUAUUAUUUAGUGGAUUUAAAAUAAUUAUGGUCCAAGCUAUUUGUAGACAAUUGGACCCUAAUUAAAUUUGAAAAGCCCAAAA